rnacentral:lncRNA from 1 species
UGGAUUUGGAAAAAAACAUGUUUAUUAAAGUGACAGAAUUUUAAUAGAAAUAGGCACUUUUACAAGUGAAUGACGAAACACCUCCCAGAUGUUACUAAUACAGAUGGGAAGUUUUAUUCCUCUUCUGUUAGCUUGACAAAAUGCCUUCUCCUUUUCUCAAUGAGCAGUACUACAGCUCAUUGAGAAGCAUUGGAAAGCCUCGAUUAGAUGUGACUGCAUGUGUGGCUCUGAUUGUAAUAUUUCCCCGCACAGAUAGAAAUUCUGUGUCUGGGAAAGAAGGGAUGGCUUGCAAAGGCUACAGACAUUAAACAGACAUCAAACCUGCAGCUAUGCAAAAAUGCAUGCAUAUUUUUUUUGUGGCGGUAUAUUUAUUAAAUAUCUAGGUCUCCUCCUCCUGUGCAAAACUCCAUUUGUGUCUCCCCUCCUCUCAUAACCCCCAUCUGUGUCUGUCCUUUUUUUCCAGUGCCUCUCCUCCUGUUAACCCGCCAUGCGUGCCUCUCCUCCUAUGCAAUUUCCAAACCUGAAUCUGUGUAUCUCCUUCUGUCCAAUUUCCAUUGUCUCUCUAUCUGUCAAAAAUACAUAAUCUGUGUCUCUUCACCUUUCCAAACCACCAAUCUGUGUCUCUCCUCCUGUUCAAACCCCAUCUUGUUUCUAAUUAUUUCCCAGUGUCUUUCCACCUACCCCAUUUCCAAACUUCCAUCUGUGCCUCUCCUGUGCAAUUUCCAAAUCCCCAUUCUGUAUCCAUUCUCCUAUACAAACCUCCAAUCCAUGUCUCACUAUCUUUCCUUACCCAUAACCUGUGUCUCUCCUCCUGUCCAAACCCCCAUCUGUGUUUCUCCUACUGUCCAAACCCCCAUUGGGGUCUCUUCUCCUACCCAAACCCCUAUCAGUGUCUCUCCUUAUCUCACAGUGUCCUUCCUCCUGUCCAAUUUCCAACCCUUCAUCUGUGUCUCUCCUCCUGUUAACCCCUAUAUGUGUCUUUCCAUGUCUUUCAGUGUGUCUCCUUGCAGCCUAGCUCCCACUUGUCUCCUGCCAUAAGUGAUAGAUAGGAGCAGAUAUCUUAUUUUUGCUGUGCUCUGUGAUGCCCCCUGCAUAUUCAGCCAGUACAGAGAGGUAAAGAGAUUAUGUAACUUUCUAUUCCUGCCUUUUUCCAUACACAGUGACCCUUUGGCAGGCACCUAUAUUGCAGAUAAUCUCAGUCUAUACUGCGAAAAAAUACAAAUACUAGCACUGGCCAGGCAGCCUUAAAUACCAGCUGUGCUGGUAAAAUACUGUUUAGGUGGCAACCUUAACCAUUCUAGCAUAGUCCAAUCCCUCUACCUCCAUUAGAUCGCUGUUUUCAGAAUGAGGGAGUUGGGCCAUGCACAGAUCAGGCUUCUCAGACUGAAUGCAGUGAUCCAAGAGACCUAGAGCAUCUGUUUCCAUCAACAAGUAGCAGGCAAUGGGCAGGAGGAAAUUAUGGGGGCUUUUAGCAGGCUUUGCAAGCAACCCCAAGAGGCAUGUGUCUGUAGGCAGAUGCCUACUCUUACUGAAAGAGAGAUAUGGCCCUGAUACUUCUAUACUUUAAUAGUAAUAUAAGUAUUACUUAUUACGAGAAUGGUUUCUAUCACAGAGAUUGAUUUUAUGAAAUAAGAACUUGAAAAAAAA